rnacentral:rRNA from 1 species
GCAACGCCGCGUGAGGGAUGACGGCCUUCGGGUUGUAAACCUCUUUCAGCAGGGACGAAGCGAGAGUGACGGUACCUGCAGAAGAAGGACCGGCCAACUACGUGCCAGCAGCCGCGGUAAUACGUAGGGUCCGAGCGUUGUCCGGAAUUAUUGGGCGUAAAGGGCUCGUAGGCGGUUUGUCGCGUCGGGAGUGAAAACUCAGGGCUCAACCCUGAGCGUGCUUCCGAUACGGGCAGACUAGAGGUAUGCAGGGGAGAACGGAAUUCCUGGUGUAGCGGUGGAAUGCGCAGAUAUCAGGAGGAACACCGGUGGCGAAGGCGGUUCUCUGGGCAUUACCUGACGCUGAGGAGCGAAAGCAUGGGGAGCGAACAGGAUUAGAUACCCUGGUAGUCCAUGCCGUAAACGUUGGGCGCUAGGUGUGGGGACCUUCCACGGUUUCCGUGCCGCAGCUAACGCAUUAAGCGCCCCGCCUGGGGAGUACGGCCGCAAGGCUAAAACUCAAAGGAAUUGACGGGGGCCCGCACAAGCGGCGGAGCAUGCUGAUUAAUUCGAUGCAACGCGAAGAACCUUACCUGGGUUUGACAUAUGCCGGAAAGCUGCAGAGAUGUGGCCUCCUUUUGGC